GCCUAAUACUACAUUGUUUUGUUGUGUAAAGAAGAGAUUAAAAAGAUUAUAUAAGAGUAUUAAAUUACCCAGCGGUUUCAAAUACCUGACCAAAAUCCUUUAAGUGUCAUCAAAGACAAGGAGAGACUGCAGAACUGCUGACAUGCAGGAGACUUAAGAGAUGUGUCACUAAAUGCAUUGUGAGGUUCUGGGACAAACAAAGAAUGUUAAUGGAAACACCAGGGAAAUUGAAGUAAAGUCAGUAGUUUAGUUAGUACCAUCCCAGGAUUAUUUAAGAUGUUAUACAAGAUGUUACCAGACUGAGUGUGGGAUAUACAGGAAUUCCCUGUUCAAUAUUUUCAGCUCCUCUGUGAGUCCAAAACUAUUUCAGAAUCAAAAGUAAAAACAAAUGACCAAGUUUCUGGUAGUUCUUGAGUAUCAGAAGCAAAUUUGUGAGUGGCAACUGCUGAAGAAUGGUUAGUGUGGUGGAAUGUAUAUUUGUAACACAGCAUGUUUGAUGUCUGCUGUGACAGUCACACCAUGUGGGUCUCCUGUCUAAUUCCCUGGCAGGGUGUGCUGGGUGCACCGUGUCACCGGUAUGUGGGUGUACCCUUUCCUGGAACACAUUGGGUCAGGAGCCAGGAUCAUCUUCUUCGGAUCAACAACCAUCUUAAUGAACUUUCUGUACCUGCUGGGAGAAGUUCUGAACAGCUAUAUCUGGGAUACACAGAGAAAGCCUCCAUCUUGGCAAGACACGUAAUCUUGUCUAAGUUGUGCAAAACCUGUCCAAAGUAUACGUUAAGAUAACAUAAACACCGGAAAGUGGAAACACCAUAGCACAGACACAUAGUGAUUUGAGUCGAAAACACAUCCAAAGGAUGGCUGGGGAUUCUAGAGAGCUUGCCUCUGACACAGUCCCAGCAUUCUACACAUCACCUGUGAGUGGACUCUGUUCCACAAACACUGAGCAUUGUGCCACCGUGUCAGGAGUUCAAUCUAGCAGACAAAUAAAGCAUGUUGAUUGUAUGGUCA
rnacentral:lncRNA from 1 species